GGCCAUAUCGUUGAAACACCGGUUCCCUUAUGAUCAUCGAAGUUAAGCAGCAUCAAGCCUGGCUGGUACCUAGAUAGAUGGUCGUUUGAGAAUGCCAGGUGCUGUAAG